CCCGAGCGGUUCCGCCUCGGGCCCAAAAUUUGGGGCUCCUCUGUCUCUGGCAUCUGCUCCGUGCAGCGGGGGAGCCCCGGGGACACUUCCCGAAGAGACAUCGGCCCUUCAGUGCCAUCUCAUCCUCCGUGACAACGACAGGCCACUGCCUCCAGCCGGUCUCUCCCAGCCAGAGCACAGCCUUUGUCCCCCCGUUGUAUCCAGGUCGGUACCUGUGAGACCCGAACAGAAGGGAAAGGCAGCUCACAGGAGACCAGGUGGUGAUGCCUGACCUGUCUGCAUGGAAUUUGUAAUAAAAACGAUGGUCGCUCCCAGCUCCUGGGCACAGAGACCUGCAGCACAAGUGUGACAGAAGUGUGACAGCACAGGUGGGACCUGGAGUCCCAGGUGUGGAGAUGGAUCUGUGGCCUCCCAGCUGAAGAGAUGACAGAAUUUCCUGCAUCACCUGAUCCACCUAAUUGCUGAUCUGCGGAAAGGCUUCAAAACACCAAACAGCUGGGAAGAACUGGAGCUGCAAACAGCAAUUUAUGCUAAAGGUUGCAAAAUCUGCUUGGAAUUUACACCUUUCAAACAAGGGAGGAAAAUUUAGCAGGGAGGUGACAGUUCCAGUCCUGACUGGUUAAUGGCUGCUGCAACAGGGUGUUAGGAGUGAGCAGGGGUGUUUAAAAGGAUCAACAUGUGAAUGAAGCUCUGUUUUGGGGAACAUGAAUCACUAACAAUCAAUUGAGAGAUAUGGAAAAUGAAAUGAAAACAAGUGCAAGAGCCUUAGGCAGGUGAGAGAAUAAUGAAGGAAAGUUGAAGGGAGGAAUACUGCACAGUGAGGAAGAGCUGGGAGUGAAAUAUAAUCUGGGGAUGGCCCCCAAAUGAAGUGACUGUCUUACCUCAGCUUUUCUUAUGUGGGGAAUAUUGAACUGAUGGAGAACAGGAGGUGGUGAAUGGAAGUGAGGAGGUUCAAGCAUCAAACCAAGUUGUUGAGGGAGUUUGAAAAUACUGGCACAGGAAAUCAGAGGAACUGUAAUAAGAGCUGUAAUUUACUCUUCCUGGUGUUGCCAUCCUGUGACUAGAAGCCAGUGAGGCAGAACCUGUCUAUAAGGAAGUAAAAGCUAAAAACUGAAAACAAAUGUCCAAGAACUGACAGUCACAGGAGGUGUGAUAGCUGUAGACUGAAUUUAAACUCUCCUUCCUAGAAAGGAGAGUUUUGCCUUUGUCCACUGCAUCAGAAGGGAGAAGGACAUGCAGCACCACAUGCACACAACCCUCCCCGGAUGAGAGAUGAUCCCCACCAACUCUGCCACUCCAUCAGGUCCAAACCUACAGUCUGUGCAGGAGUUUCCAUCAGGAGUUGUGCUGUGACCUUGGGAACCACACCCAGAGCCCCGUGGGGAAUCCAGCCCUUCUCCUGUUCAUCUCUCCUAUCACAUGUGAUUCAUACCUUUCUCAGCUCCGCUCCUGGGUGCUCCCAUGCUCUGCCGUUGUGUUAUAAAUGAGUGGCUGUUGGUGUUGGUUGAUAUUUAAUGAAGUCCAUGUAAUACUCUUCACUUA